rnacentral:misc_RNA from 1 species
GAUGAAGAACGCAGCGAAAUGCGAUACGUAAUGUGAAUUGCAAAUUCAGUGAAUCAUCGAGUCUUUGAACGCACAUUGCGCCCCCUGGUAUUCCGGGGGGCAUGCCUGUCCGAGCGUCAUUGCUGCCCUCAAGCACGGCUUGUGUGUUGGGCCCCGUCCUCCGAUCCCGGGGGACGGGCCCGAAAGGCAGCGGCGGCACCGCGUCCGGUCCUCGAGCGUAUGGGGCUUUGUCACCCGCUCUGUAGGCCCGGCCGGCGCUUGCCGAUCAACCCAAAUUUUUAUCCAGGUUGACCUCGUAUCAGGUAGGGAUACCCGCUGAACUUAAGCAUAUCAAUAAGCGGAGGA